UACGACGGGGGCUAGCGUUGCUCGGAAUCACUGGGCGUAAAGCGCACGUAGGCGGCUUUUUAAGUCAGAGGUGAAAUCCUGGAGCUCAACUCCAGAACUGCCUUUGAUACUGAGAAUCUUGAGUAUGGGAGAGGUGAGUGGAACUGCGAGUGUAGAGGUGAAAUUCGUAGAUAUUCGCAAGAACACCAGUGGCGAAGGCGGCUCACUGGCCCAUAACUGACGCUGAGGCACGAAAGCGUGGGGAGCAAACAGG
rnacentral:rRNA from 1 species